rnacentral:lncRNA from 1 species
UCGAGAUGUGAGAUCCAUGAACAAAUCCUCACUGCAGGGAAUAGUAACACCGCCCAUUGGAUGUUCAAAGCCAAAUUCAUCCUCGGCUUGACUAAGCAAGUCUUGAAACAAAGGUUCGCUCAAGAAUGAUAUCGGAAUUACAAAUCUCUUUUUCUGCAUCUCUCCAACAUACACAGCAAAAUGGCCCUUGGGAAUAUCUCUAGUUGCGGAAGACCUCUUGAUCAUACGGAGAAUAGCCAUGAUCUCUUAGUUUUAGUAUAGAUGAGAAAAAAAGGACUGUUAAGGGAACUCAAAAGCAGAGAAAACUUUGAUGUUUACUGAGUGUUGUGGUGGUAGAUACCUCUUUGGAUAUGUUUAUAUAGGAAAUGGCAACUCAUAUUGAUGUGAAUCGAAUAGGAAUUUGUGGUCACCAGCAGAAGACAAUGGCACUCAAGUAUCACAUGCUCUUGCCUUCCAAGUAUUGAAUUGUGGUAUUAGUUGAAGAACAAUAGGCCCUACCUUUUCUGAAAACUUGGAAAGAAGCAUUAUUCAUUACAUAAUUUCUAAGAAGUGAUGAGAAGUCAUAAACCUCUUGAUAUGUGAUGAAGAGCCAUUUGGAUUGGGCUGCACAUGGUCAUGCCUUUCAACUAGUUGACAUGAUUGAUUCUUUUAGCAUAUAUAAGUUCAAGUAAAAUAGGUCCUACACAUUUAUUUCCAACAAAGGAUCUCUAAGAAUCAAAUCCAUAAAUAUUACUGGUAGCUUAUGAUGAUUUCUAGAAAUAAAACAUACCCCAGAUGCAAACUUUGUAUCCAAUUAUAUAAAAGAUAUACGAGAUAAGAAGUCAAAAAUAUGAAAGAUUUCACUGGUUGACACUGUUAGUUGACAAUAGCACAUGAAGUAUCACAUUGUCUUGUUCCCCAACUCAUUGUCUAAUAUACAUGAUCUUAGCGAUCAGAUUGGUAAAUUUACUGCUCUUGAAUAGCAGCAGACCCCAAUGUUUUGACAAGAUAGCGAACAUACAUCAAAUCGAUAAAUUUACUGCAAUAGCUGACAACUUGUAGGAUCAACACUCCCGAUUAGACUAACCUGUGUUAUUUCAAUAGAUUUUGGAAAGUGUUCUCAAAUAUUUGUGGGCUUUCAACAUGUCUGUGUUUGCAAAUCUCCAUAAAUUUAUGAGUCGGUCAAAACCUUACUAUAUAUUGGCAGAAAUUUGAGUCCAUCCAUAUUCGAGAAAAGUAUAAAUAUGGAAUACACAUUUUUAAGAGUUGAUCAAUUUACAUCCAGUUCUAUUGGAUUCAGUCGAACUGAGUACUUUCACAUUGCUGCAGAAUGGCAGAUCUAGUACAUGUUGAGUUAUACUUCAUUGUAUGAUGGACACUACCAUGUUUAUUUUAACUUCAUUUUGAACCACAAAGUAUAAUUCUUACCAAUGGAAUGAGUUGUGGCACUUUAGAAGACUGGAUUCUGACAAAAAACGAGGGUAGAGCAAAAAAAUUCUAUUGCAAUGAAUUGUUACAUCAAUAUAUGUAUAGAAUGAAACCAUGUAAGUAAAAAGUUUCAUUACUUCAAUUUCUUUUGAAGUAGAAAAAUGUGUCCUUAGUGUAACUAGUGUUUCUUCUAACUCUCAACUGUACACAGUUUCUAUCCUGACUUACUACAACUACACAAAAUUGUGUAAUUAAAAAAAUGGGGACUGGUUCCCUUCUCACUUCCGCAAUAUAGAUGUGAGAUUGAUGAACAAAUCUUCGCUGCAGGGAAUAGUCACACCACCCAUUGGAUGGUCGAAGCCAAAUUCUUCCUCAGAUUGACUAAGCAAGUCUUGAAAUAAAGGUUCGCUCAAGAAUGAUAUCGGGAUCACAAAUCUCUUUUUCUGCAUCUCCCCAACAUACACAGCAAAAUGGCCCUUGGGAAUAUCUCUGGUUGCGGAAGACUUCUUGAUCAUACGAAGAAUAGCCAUGAUCUCUAGUUUUAGUAUAGGUGAGAAAAAAAGAAGGAUUGUAAGGUUACCAAAAAGCACAGAAAGCUUUGAUGUUUGCUGAGUAUUGUGGUGGUAGAUACCUCUUUAGAUAUGUUUAUAUAGGAAAUGGCAACUCAUAUUGAUGUGUGUUGAAUAGGAAUGUGUGCAUACCAGCAGAAGACAAUGGCACUGUCGUAUCACAUGCUCUUGCCUUCCAAGUAUUGAAAACUUGUGGUGUUAGCUAAAUAACAAUAGGCCCUACCUUAUUUUGGAACUUGGGAAGAGCCAUUUGGAUUGGACAUCAGUAGAAGACAAUGAUAUAUUAGUAAUCACUUGGGCCUGCCUUCCAGCUAGUUGACAUGAUUAAUUGCUUUAGCAUAUAAGAUCAAGUUCAAUAGGUCCUACAUAUAUUUUCCUAUAGGGAACAAAGGAUCUCUAAGAAUCAAAUCCAUAAAUAUUGCUGGUAGCUUAUGAGGAUAUCUAGGAAUUAACCAUACCCCAUGCAAACUUUGUGUCCACUUGUAUAAAAAGGAUAAGAGAUAAAAGUUGGCUUAUUAAAAUUCAGAGCCAGUUAGUCAAAAUCAGAGAAUCAAAUAGAAACAGAGGGUUAUAUAUGCAAGAACAAUCCAUUGGUUAAAUAGUUGGCUCCCUAAGUACAUAAUCUUGUUUGCUAUCUUUUACAAAUACAUUGGUUUCUUCAUAAACAAAGAUAAAUAAGUUGGGAUCUUCCUCCAUAAAUAGCUUCCCAUCUCUACAUCCCAAACACAACCAUUAGUACUUUUUUAGUAGCAUUAAGCUCUCAAAUUUGUAUGCACCAGCUUGGAGGGAGUGUUUCAAUAGAAUAAGUAUUUCCUACUUAAAAUAGGAAUAGGAAUAAGAAUAGGAUUCCUAGUCAGAAAAGGACUCUAAUAUAGUGUCUAUAAAUAGGGUCUCAAUGUAAAAUUUAGAUACACAAUUCAAUAAUAUUUUUUCACCAUAUAUUUCUCACAAGGGUGACAACAAGACCAAGUUUUUCCACAGAUCAGCAAAUGCUCAUAGAAGAUAUAACAAUAUUGAUGAAUUUAUGGUGGAUGGGGAAGCAACCCAAAAACCAGAUGUUAUAAAGAAGGAGAUUGAGAGGUCUAUUAAAGAAUAUAUACUGAAACUGAGACAUGGAGGCCAGCUGGAGGAUGCAGGGCAGACCACAGAGCACAGAGUUUCUAUUGAAGACAAUCAUUCUAUGAAAGCUAGAUAUACAAAAGCUUAUGACCACCUCAAUAGGAUUUGGAGGUAGAUGGGUAAGAUGGAUGAAGUUCUGCAUAAGCACAGUCAAAUUCUCUGUCCUUAUCAAUCAAUGACUCCCCUACAGGUGAGCCUUCUACUCACAGAGAGGCCUAAGGCAAGGAGACCCAUUAUCUCCUUUUCAUCAUUGCCACGAGAUGUCUUAAUGAUAUGUUGAGAGUUGCUCAAGGAAUAGCUGGUUGAAGGGAUUCAAAGCUGCACACAGGGAAGGCUCAAACUUGGAGUUACUCAUUUGCUUUGCAGUAUGCUGAUGAUACAUUGAUCUUUUGUGAGGCUAAUAAGGACCAACUCAUGAUUCUCAAGGUCAUUUUUGUUAUUUUUGAAGCAGUCCCACGAUUACAUUCAACUGGAAUAAGAGCUUCAUAUAACCAGUUAAUGAGGUUCCUAACCUAACCUAAUUGGCUGGGGUCCUUGGUGGAAGUAUUGGGAAGCUACCAACUGUCUACUUGGGCAUGCCUCUGGGUGAUCAGAACAGGUCUAUAGAUAUAUGGAAUUGCGUGGUAAAGAAGUGCAAGAAGAGGUUGGUAAACUGGAAAAGUCAAUAUCUCUCCUUAGGAGGAAGACUAGCACUAAUCAAAAGUGUUUUGGACUCUAUGCCUACCUAUAUGAUGUCCCUCUUCCCUAUCCCUGAUGGGGUCAUUGAGAGAUUGGAUGUUCUAAGAAGAAACUUAGUGAAACCAAGAAGUUCCACUUGGUGAAAUGGGAUGCACUGAUUGGAAGUAAACAAAAAGGGGUGUGGGGGUAAGGAACUUAAAAACUCAGAACCAAUGUCUUAUGAUGAAAUGGCUCUGGAUAUUUGCUUCUAGGGAGUCAGCUCUCUGGAAAGAAGUUAUCCAGCUGAAGUAUGAAAUGGCAGAUCAUUGGACCACCAGAAUGGUCACCGAUACUUAUGGGAUCAACCUUUGGAGAUCCAUCAGAAACCUGUGGCCAAAGCUUAGAGAAAAUUGCAGCAUAAGAACAGAAGAUGGCAGGAAGGUACUUUUCUAGGAAUACAAGUGGUUACAUCAAGCCCCCCUAAGGGACACCUUCAAUGAUAUUUACACCCUAAACCAACAACAAAGGACCACUGUGGAUGAAGUCUGGUCAAAUCAGGGAUGGAAUUUGAGCUUUAGAAGACCUUUUAAUGACAAGGAGAUUUUGAGGUUAGUUGAGUUCUACAGCAAUUGGAGCAAUUCAAAGGAACCUCCACUGACCAAGAUAGAUUGGAGUGGGAGGGCCACAGUCAAGGUAAUUUCAGUAUGAAAGGGGCCUAUAAAAAAUUUAACCCCAAUAAUUAUCAGAUUGUGGGGGGCCUAGGAAGCUUAUAUGGAAAGUCAAAAUUCCUUAUAAAAUUUCCUGCUUCACUUGGCUUGUGGCCAAACAAGCUGUUUUAACCCAAGAAAACCUCAUGAAAAGGGGGAUACAUCUAAGUCCAAGGUGUUUUUUUGGGAAGAGAAGGCUGAGACUGUAACCCACCUUUUUAUACACUACAGGAUUACCCGUCAACUAUGGGAAAUAUUCCUAAGUAAGAAGGGCCUGAAUUGGGUAAUGCCAAGGAAAAUAGAUCAGACUUUGAAGAUCUGGAGCAGUUAUGCUAGCAUGUCAGACCAUAAGGAUAGGUGGAAAAUUGUACCAGCUUGAAUUUUGUGGGCUGCUUUGCGAUGAAAUUGAAGUGAUUAGUUUUGUUUCACUUUUGGUGUAAACAGGAGUAUAGGGAAUAUCUAGAAUCAAUUAAAGAUGCCUUAGGAUUAUUGUAAUUUUUUGUUAAAAGGGUUGAAGUUCUUCUAGAUACUCCCCUCCUCAACUGUAAUUAUGAAACCUGUAACUUGUCGUGGCAGGUUUCUGUUUUUGGGGAAAUAGAAUACAAGUCGUUACCUUCUCAAAAAAAAAAAGUAUAAACAUGGAGUACAUAUUAUUAAGAAUUAAUCAAUUUACAUCCAGUUCUAUUGGACUGAGUUUAACUCAGUACUUUCACAUUGCUGCAGAAUGGCAGAUCUAGUACAUCUUGAGUUACACUUCAUUGUAUGAUGGACACUACCAUGUGUGUUUUAACUUCAUUUUGACCACAAAGUAUAAUUCUUACCAACGGAAUGAGUUGUGGCACUUUAGAAGAGUUGUGGCACUUUAGAAGGCUAGAUUCUGACUAAAAAUCGAUGAGAGUUGAGCAAAAAGUUUCUAUUGCAAUGAAUUAUUUACAUCGAUGUAUGGCAUAGAAUGAAACCAUGUAAGUAAAAAGUUUCAUUACUUCAAUUUCUUUUGAAGUAGAAAAAUGUGUCCAUAGUCUAACUAGUGUUUCUUCAAAACUAUGAACUGUACAGUGUCUAUCCUGGCUUACUACAACUAUACAAAAUUGUGUAAUUAAAAAAAUGGGGACUGGUUUUCUUCUCACUUCCGCAAUCGAGAUGUGAGAUCGAUGAACAAAUCCUCACAGCAUGGAAUAGUCACACCACCCAUUGGAUGGUCGAAGCCAAAUUCUUCCUCAGAUUGACUAAGCAAGUCUUGAAAUAAAGGUUCGCUCAAGAAUGAUAUCGGGAUCACAAAUCUCUUUUUCUGCAUCUCCCCAACAUACACAGCAAAAUGACCCUUGGGAAUAUCUCUAGUUGCAGAAGACUUCUUGAUCAUACGAAGAAUAGCCAUGAUCACUUAGUUUUAGUAUAGGUGAAAAAAAAAAGAAGGAUUGUAAGGUUACCAAAAAGCAGAGAAAGCUUUGAUGUUUGCUGAGUGUUGUGGUGGUAGAUACCUCAUUAGAUAUGUUUAUAUAGGAAAUGGCAACUCAUGUAUAAUGUGUGGGUACCAGCAGAAGACAAUGGCACUGUAGUAUCAGAUGCUCUUGCCUUCCAAGUAUUGAAAACUAUGUGGUGUUAGUUAAAGAACAAUAGGCCCUACCUUAAUUUGAAACUUGGAAAGAGCCAUUUGGAUUGGACAUCAGUACAAGACAAUGAUAUAUUAGUAAUCACAUGGUCCUGCCCUCCAGCUAGUUGCAAUGAUUAAUUACUUUGGCAUAUAUAAGUUCAAGUUCAAUAUGUCCUACAUAUAUUUUCCUAUAGGGAACAAAUGAUCUCUAAGAAUCAAAUCCAUAAAUAUUGCUGGUAGCUUAUGAGGAUAUCUAGGAAUUAACCAUACCCCAGAUGCAAACUUUGUGCCCACUUAUAUAAAAAGAAUAGGAGAUAACAGGGGGAAUAUUAGAAGAACAAUCCAUUGAUUAAUAGUUGGCUCCCUAAGUACAUAAUCAUUUUUUUUUGGCAACUAAUGUGAGUAUUACCAUAACCAACAAACACAAAGUAACAAAUACACCUAAAAAAGAACCUAAUCACAUAACCACCUUCUAGGAAGGGUGUGAUGAGAAAAUAGGCAUCCAAAAUAAAGCUAAUUACAAAUAAGCCUCUGAAUCAAACUGCUACAGCUACGACCUUUUCUCCCUAUUUUUAAUAGAUCUAAUCUUUCCACAAUAUCCUUCUUAAUCUUCUGUAACACAACUGUUCCAGUUUGAACACUCAUGUGCUUGAAUGUAGUCCAGUUCCUAGCCUUCCAAGUAAAUAAUCUUGUUUGUUAUCUUUUACAAGUACAUUGGUUUCUUCAUAAACGAAGAUAAAUAAGUUGGGAUCUUCCUCCAUAAACAGCAUCCCAUCUCUAUAUCCCAAACACAACUAUUAGUACUUUUUUAGUAGCAUUAAGCUCUCAAAUUUCUUCAAGAAAACAUACAAAAGUGGACAUCAGGAAAUCAAACAACUUAAUCACAAGCUGCAGUUUUGAAGCAAAUUAUGAAUUCAAAUUUGGGUAUGCUGAGAUUUAUAUUUGCUAAUGAGUCCAACCAACGACCCGACCCCUAAGAGAAACAAUCAUUUAAAGUAAAUGAAUUAUAAGGAAAAUUCAUGAGAAACCAAAAAUGGAUGAUAAUGCAAAGGACGAAAUAGACCUGAUCAGUUAUAUCAAGUGCUGUGCUUGCCACAAUCGGAAUAAACUUAUUGUCAACCUGUUGGAGAACUUUGGCACCCUCCGGGAAGUUUUUAUUAAUGGUAUCAGGAACCAAUGAAUCGCCAAAAAAAUGCAAGACGCCAGAAGUGACACUGAGUACAAUAUACUGAUUAUUAAAAUUCUCAGUUCCAGCACUGUUCUGCAUCUCAAUAGGAAAAGGUAAAGUUCAUCAUCUUAACAAAAUAGAGAAGAAGCAAAAACAUCCAAGAUAUAGCUAAGGUACUCAACUGUAAUCUUUGGAAGUCCCUCCAUUUUAUCCCAAAAAUCUAAGGAACUUUGAAUUUUUGUUGGUGCAAAUUCUGAAAAAUUGAUUAAAGAAAAGGUCAGCCAUGACAAUAUUAUUACAAGAUCAGAACACAAGCAAGAUGGAAUUUGAAAGAGACUAUGUGGCAUAGGAGUCUUAGAAAGAGACAUUGUAAUCUCUAAUGCUUCCAUGAUUAAUAAGAAUGCAGCCUAAGCUAAUCUUGAAAAGUGGGUGAAAGAAAUGAAGCUAAUUAACUGAAACAUGCACUAGGAAAAUUCAGCUCUUAUUCAGAUCACGAACAAGUGGCAGGAAUGGUUUACCUUCUUUUAACUCCCCAUCGUGUGUACAUGUGCACUCCCCUUGAGCUUGCAAUUUGCUAUUCCAGGUGUUAAUAAGUUCCCUUUUCACACUUGGCCUGAACAGAGAAACAUCAGGUCGUGUUCAUUACUGGCAUAUUUAAUUAAGAUAUAUCAGAAAGAGACCUAACAACCCUCCCAAGAAAUUGGAUAACGCUACCUUUCAUCAGAGAUGAAACCGUCACCACAACUUGGGGUUGAAGAUUGAUCACAUUGAUGGGAUGACUGCUGUGGAAGCUCUCAGCAGAUAGCUUCUGCAGAAUGAUGCAGUCUACUAACUGCUAUAGUUUCAGCACGAAGGAAAAGAACAUUAAUUAGUUGCACCCGUUUUCUGUCAUCAAUGAUUAAUAACACAAACAAGCACUCAAGAACAAAUUACCAAGCAUGAGUGGCACAUCAUGAACAGUCUUAAUACUGUGAUUUCCAGCUGCCUUUCUUGUAGACUCACUCAUUGCAAAGAACUUAAUUCUUACCUUGGUAAAAUGGAGGAACUGAAUGAAUUCUUCUACCCUCUUUCUUCCUUAUAAGCUCAUCCGUUUUACCUCAAUUUCCAGCAUCGAUCCAUUUAUGUCAGUCCCUAUCCGAGCACAGGUCAUGGUAUCAACUAAUUCUUAAGAUUCUCUUCACAUCUCUUAUCCAUCAAUUUGGGCCUGCAUACCUUCACCGUGUAUACAUCGUGAGCCUUGAAUGAACUAUCACUUGCAUUCAAUUUUUAAGGGAACUCAGAUGAAUCCCUAACCCACUGAAAAAUAGUGGCAACAGAGAAAGAGAAGCACGUAGGCAAACAGGUCAUCCUCACUGCAUGCAAAUAAAAAAAAAUCUAAGAAACCAUACAGGAAAUAUCCUCAAGUUAACUGGUUUAUCAAAUAUGGACCUUUCAAUAACAACAAUUUUGAAGGAGACACUGGGAUGCACAAGGGUGGUUCUCAGUCGAGACUCUUUGAGAGAAUGCAAGACCCUCUUUGUGCUUCGGACAGAGUACAGCUUAAGAAGUUACGUAAAUCAAAUGUUUUACUUGUUUGAGUUUGAGGAAAACAAGAAGUACCUGGAGAGCAUUUGUUUCCUUAAAACUGGUUGGUUGUAAAAGCACUGGAAAUAGUACCCGUGAAACUCCUCUUGCAUAUUAGCACUAGAAUUAGGCAUAGGCAUUGCCAAAGAAGAAAAUAACCAUUAAAGUGGAACAUUCACAUGACAUUGUAAACUCUUGAACAUAAUAAACCACUAAAGCAAAAGAAUAUUAAUUACAUUGUUGAAUGUCAAUCAAGAAACAUCAAGAAGUCAAAUUUUUAACAUAAAGCCCUAAAGAACACCCAAGACAAUUAAAAUACUGUAGGCAUCUUAAGAAAAUCUUGAAAUAGCAAUACAAAAAUCCAUCAAAAAAAGAAGAAGAGAGGGGAAGCUUACUUUAAGAUGAAGGCAACACACACACUGAUCAUUAAAAAUAAAUAAUACCAUCCAAUCCAGUGUAGCAAUAGGCAUUCAACUCAUAAUAUUUUUCAAAUUUUAUUUAUCCUUUCUAGAUUGCAACUUGAUAACGUAUCUAAAAUUAAUAAAAUAUACAUUAAUAAAAGGAAAAAUGUACACAAAUUCUAAACUAAUCCAGUCUAAAAUUGUAUCACUAACCUGAUAUUUUUCGAACAUAUAAAGUUUUUACUUUUAAAAUAAUAACAGCGGAACUUGAAAAAUAUAUAUUAAAACUAUUAUGACAACAUACUUAGUAUAGUCUCAGAAGUGGAAUCUAGAAAAGAUCUCAUAAUCAAUAUUAGUUUCAUAAAUAAAAUCUACAAUGGUUGGAUAUACGCAGAUCUUAUCCCAAAAAAAUACAAUAUUAGUGAUUUAAAUACGCAAUCGAAUGGCAUUGGCAUAUUUGUGAAACUUGACAAUGACAUUGAGUUUAGUGAACUGGAGUCAACAAUGACAAAGAAAAUAACUAGAGCAAAAUAUACAAGCAUGUAGUGAACAUAAGAUGGUUACUAAAAAUGUUAGGCACAUGACAAAGCAAUUGGAGAAUGUUAAUGCACUAUGCGUGUAUAUGUAGCUUUGUAUAGGCUACAUAUUAAAUAAUUUUGAAAUUGUGGAUAUGAUUUUAGGCUAAGUUGACAUUUGUAAAGGACAAUUUGCACAAAAUAUAGCGUCAAAACAUUAUAAGUUAGAAUAUACUGAAAUUUAAUAUUUUUCUAAGUGCAUGGAGUAAAAAAUUACAAGGACUAAGGAAUCUUUGUAUUGUAACUCCAUUUCUUCUUUGUUACUUCCUUCUUUUCCUGAAAUAAAUAGCCAACUUACUCAAGAAAUUUACACUUUGCAAUCCUUCUAGAGAGCAUGGAAAAUCUAGACCAAAUAGUUCUUUGAUUCACACAUUUCUUGGCCAAGAUUUGGUGUGUUCAUACAAAUACAACUGACUAUCAUAAUAAUGUUCUUGUUUACAAAAAGAAAGAUCAUAUGUGUGAUGGAGGAGAUAGAUGACACAGUAAUGAUUUAGGUAAUUACACAUCUCAUUAUUUUGGUCCAGAAAAAAAUCAUGUCUAAUUUUCAAGUGUCUUUGGAUCUUCUAUUUUGAUUAUAAACGAAAAUCAUUCACCUCUCAAAUCCACACUCAAUCCUUGAAGCAUCAAGGUGAAAGAGAAAUUUGGUUAUAAUGGGCAAAACAAGCUUCUUAACAGUCUACACUUCUAUAAUGAUACAACAGUGAGUUUCUGGAGGUUCAAAUACCAGAGUUGGGUACUGGUGUGGGUAAUAUAAUGAUCAAUGUAUAUGUGACAAAUCAUCACCAUUAUAAUAGAAUCCAGAAGGACCUGAACUAUUAGGUUCACCCGAUCAAGUCCCCCACACUAUAAAUAUCCUCCUUAGAACAAGCAUUAAAAUUGGGAUCAAACUUUGCCGGAUCUGGGAACAAGCAGUCUUCUUUUCAAUAUUAUAUAUGGCAGGAGUUCCAAAAUCAUAUGUGAGAACAACUUCAUGUUUAACAGAAGUUUCUAUACCAUUUUCAGGCUUUAGCAAUGUUAAGGAUUAACAUCUUGAAACUUGGUCCCGAGCAAAGUAUCUGGUGAAAGAGGAGAUGGUUCUGGACUACAAAACGACAGUCCAGAACCAUAAUUUUCAGCCUAUUUAAAGAGGUCCAUAAGAUGAUCGUCUUCAUCUAACAUGACCUUGGUUAAUGAAGAUUUUUCUGAAUCUCCUGAAACAUUUUAACCUCAUUAGUCAUACUAACGCCCAGAUGACUAACGCCUAAAAUACACUCAACAUUAGACUAAAGGCCAAAUACAAAGAACCUGUAUAAUCAAGAAAACAAUCAUUUUCUUUGGAAAUAGAUGCAAAAGAAUCUGGUUAGCUACUGAAGUAUUUCCUUAAACAUGAAUGAUGUGAUAAAUAAUUUUCCAAAUUAAGUUGGAAGCUAUUUGAGUUUCAAGUCCUCAUAAUUCGAAAAGAGAGAACCUCUACGAUUGACUUGUUACUGAUGGUAUUAGAACAAAAAUAGCUCAUUCCUCGAGUAACAAUUCAUAAUUCACUUGCUAUAAUCAAGCCAAUUAUAAUAUAAAAUAAACCUUAAGAGACAAUGCACACAAAUGAAACUUGAAAUCCUUAGACCCUCAAAAAUCCUUCUUGCUGUCAACAUGGAGCACAGAACUGAUAAAAACUGUGCUAUUGAUACCUCAGAAUGAACUAACUGAGAAAAAGUGCUUGUCAUGCUUUGUUUUCCAUAUCUAGGCAGGCAUACAACCCUUCAGAGGAAGGAAUAUGAACAACUACAGUACCUUUCUCUUUCAAAGACUGAUUUGCAAAUGGUGCACUUUUUGAAUGUAUCCCUAAAAGAAUCAAUCGUUAAAAAAAUGCAUUUAUAAGGAAUUCACGAGAAACCAAAAAUGGCCAUCAUGGACUAUGCAGAGACCAGAACAGACCUGAUUAAUAAUAGGAAGUGUGGUGCCCGCCACAAUUGAAAUAAACUUCUUAUCAACCUGUUGAAGAACUUUGGCAGUUUUUUUCAAUGGUAUCAGGAACCAAUAAAUCACCAACAAAAUGCAAGACGCCAGAAGUGACAUUGAGCACAGUAUCUCAUACUGAAAAGGGUAAAAAAGUCCAGUUCUUAAGAUUUUCUGUUCAAAUUCUGCUCUGCAUCACAUACUGAAAGGGGUAAAAGUCCAUCAUCUUAGCAAGAUAGAGAAGAAGUCGCAAAAACAUCUGGAAUAUAGCUAAGGUAACUCAACUGUAAUCUCUGGACGGAAGUCUCUCCAUUCUGUCACACAAUUAAGAAACUUCGAGCUUUUGUGGUUCAAAUUCUGAAUUUUGAAUAAAAAAUGUCAGUCAUGACUCGUGACAAUUCUAUAAUAAGAUCAGAACAUAGCGGUUGAAAGAGACUAUGGGUCCUAGGGAACUUAAAAAGACACAUGGUAAUCUCUAAUGCUUUUAUGAUUGAAUGCAUUCUGGGAUAAUCUUGAAAAAUGGGUGAAAGAAAUGACUUUAAUUAACUGGAACAUGCACGAGAAAAAUUUAGCUCUUAUUCAGGUCAGCAACAAAUGGCAGGAAUUACCUUCUUUCGAAUCCCCAUCGUGUGAAGUUGUGCACUCCCUCAAGCUUGUACUUUAUUAUUCCAAAUGCUAACUAGUUUCAUUAGAAACACCAGGUCGUGUGAGUUACUAAAAUAUUUGAUUGAGAUAAUAUCAGAAAUAGAACUAACUCUUCCAAGAACGUUGAUAACAUGACCUUUCAUCAGAGAAUACACCGUCACCACAACUUGGGGUGGAGGAUUGACCACAUUGAUGGUAUGACUGCUGUGGAAACUCCAAGCAAAUAGCUUCUGCAGAAUGAUGCAGUCUCCUUACAGCUCUAGUUUCUGCACGAUGGAAACGAACAUUGAUUAGUUGCCCACAUUUCCUGUCAUCAUUGAUCAUUAAUACAAACAAGCACUCAAGGACAAAUUACCUGGCAUGAGUGGCACAUAACGAACAGUCUUGAUACUUUUAUUUGCUGCUGCUGUUCUUGAAGACUAGCUUGUGGCAAAGAAUUUCUUGCCCAAGGAGCUGAAAUGACUUCUUCUACUCUUCCCAUUAUUAUAAUCUCAUCUGUUUUACCUUGAUUUCCAGCAUGAAUCCAUUUACGCGAGUCCCCAUCCCAUCCUAGAGGAGAGCAUAGCUUGUGGUAUCAAAUAAUAAUUAAGAUUUUCUUCACUAUGAGAAUGUAUAUAUGACAAAUCAUCACCAUUAUAAUAGAAUUCAGAAGGAUCUGAACUAUUAACGUCACCCGAUCAAGUCCCCUACACUGUACAUAUCAUCUGUAGAACUAGCACUAAAAUUGAGAUCAAACUUUGCAAGUUUUAGGAACAAGCAGUCCUCUUUUACAUAUUAUUUAUGGCAGGAAUUCCAAAAUUAUACGUGAUAACAACUUCAUAUUUAACAGAAGUUUCUAUACCAUUUUCAGCAAUGUUAAGGAUUAACACCUUAAACUUGGUCCCGACCCAAGCAAAGCAUCUGGUGACGGAGGAGAUGGUUCUGGACUAAAAAACGGCAGGCCAGAUUCAUAUUUUUCAGUCUGUUCAAAAAGGACCAUAAGAUGACCGUCUUCAACUAAAAUGACCUUGAUUAAUGAAGAUUUUAUCUCCUAACAAAGUUUGACCACAUUAGUUAGACUAACGCCCGCCCAAAAUACACAGAACCUGUGUUAUCAAGAAAACAACCAUUUUCUUAUGAAGCACAUGCAAAAGAAUCUUGUUAGCUACUGGGGUAUUUCCUUAAACAUGAAUGAUGUUAUAAAUAGUUUUCCAAAUUCCGUUGGAAGCUAUUUGAGUUUCAAGUACUCAUAAUUCAAAAAAGAGAGAACCUCUACCAUUGACUUGUAUGGUAUUAGAAUAAAAAAAGCUCCUUCCUUGGAAGUCACAAUUCAUAAUUCACUGGCUAUAAAUCAACCCAAUUAAAACAUAAAAUGGACCUUUAGGAGACGAUGCACACAACGAAACUUGAAAGCCUUAAACCAUCAAAAAUCCUUCUUGCUGUCAACAAGAUGGAGCACAGAACUGAUAAAACCUGUGCUAUUGAUACCUCAGAAUGGACUAACUACCCUGAGAAAAAGUGCUGUCAUGUUUUGUCUUCCACAUUUAGACAGGCAUAUAUCCUUCAGUGGAACAUGAAUGUAGAAGGAAUAAGAUAUAAAGUAUUGUAAAAGGUCUGAGAAUGUAGGUGAACAACUAAUCCUAUAUUAACAACUACAAUACCUUUCUCUUUUAAAGACUGAUAUGCAAAUGGUUUACAUUUACUUAGAGAAUGUUACCGAAAGAAGAGUAACAGAUGUUGGCUGCUUGUGACUCAGAUUUAAGGUAACUGCUUUAACCAAAACAUACAACUUCAUGCUCAGAGUUAGGUUUAAAUUUGAUGAAUGUUGCAAAAUUCAGUGCAAUGGAAUUUCUGGUAAAUGACAAUUUUAUCAUGUUCCAUAGACACCCACAUAAGUCAUGAGGAUAUUAAUAAUGAACAGUUAAAUACCGCCAACCAAAUGAAUGAAUUAGUUUUGUUGUGCUUAUUUUUUCUUAUGUGGCUAACUGACAGCUACAUAUUUAUGCAGAUGUUACUUUUUCUUACACGGCCAAAUAAUGUUAUAUUAUUUAUGCAGAAGUCUAUGCUGAGAUUUAUAUUUGCUAAUGAGUCCAACCAAACAAUCCCUAAGAGGAACAAUUGCUUAAAGUAAGUGCAUUUUUCAAGAAAUUUAUGAAAAACCAAGACUGAUCAUAUGGGCUAUGCAAAGGCCAUAUAGACAUUAUCAAUCAUAAGUAUUGUGUUCCCACAAUCAGAAUAAACUUCUUAUCAACCUGUUGGGGGAACUUUGGCACCCUCCAGACAGUUUUUAUCAAUUGUAUCAGCAACCAAUGAAUCGCCAACAAAAGGCAAGACACCAGAAGUGACAUUGGGUAUAGUAUCCAGAUUCUUAGGAUUCUCUGUUCCAGAACCGCUAUGCAUCUCAUACUAGAGGAGCGGCCCUGUUGGUUCACCAAAGCCCGACCCAGCGUCGCACAUUCUCCAAAAGGUAAAGGUUCUAUCAUCUUGUCCAUGUAGUCCUGGUACUCAACUGUAGUCUUUGGACGGAAGUCCCUCCAUUUUGUCCCAGAAUCUAAGGAACUUUGAAUAAACAUAAGCAAGAUAUAAUUUGAAAGAGACUGUGUGGCCUCAGAGACUUAGAAAGAGACAUAAUCCAAAAUGCUUUCAUGAUUAAUAAGAACACAAUCUAAGAUAAUCUUGAAAAGUGGAUGAAAGAAAUGAAGCUAAUUAACUAAAACAUGCACAAGAAAAUUCAGUCUUAUUCAGGUCAGGAAUAAAAACUGCUUACCUUCUUUUGAGUCCCCAUCGCGUGUACUUGUGCAAUCCCCUUGAGUUUGUAAUUUUCUAUUCCAUAUGUUAACAAAUUUCAUUAUAACCCUUGGCCUAAAUAGAGAAAUAUUAGGUCGUGUGAAUUACUAAAAUAUUUUAUUGAGAUAAUAUCAGAAAGAGACCCAACCCUCCCAAGAAAUUUUAUAACAUACCUUUCAACAUAGAACACACCCUUUACCACAUUAUGGGUGGAAGAUUGAGCACAUUGAUGAGAAGACUGAGUGGAAUCUCCGCGCAGAUAGCUUCUGCAGAAUGAUGCAGUCUCCUUACAACUCUAGAUUCUGCACGAUAGAAAAGAACAUUGAUAAGUUGCACAUAUUUUCUUUCAUAGUUGAUUAUUAACACAAAAAAGCACGCGAGGAGAAAUUACCUGGCAUGAGCACAUCAUGAACAGUUUAAAAGAUGUUAUUUCCUGCUGCCGUUCUUGAAGACUCACUUGUGGCAAAGAACUUCUUCUUGUCUUGGUAAAAUGGAGGAGCUGAAUGACUUCUUCUACUCUUCUUCUUCCUUACAAGCUCAUCUGUUUUACCUCGAUUUCCAGCGUCAAUCCAUUUAUGCGAGUCCCCAUCCACCCUAGAGGAGCAUAGCUUGUGGUAGCAACUAAUUUCAAGAUUCUCUUCACCAAGAGAAAGCAUGUGUCAAAUCAUCUCAAUCAAUCAUCUCAAUCAUAAUAGAAUCAAGAAGGACCUGAACUAUAAACAUCCCAUGGAUCCAGUCCCCUAUACCGGCCAUGCCAGUUUGCCCAAUUACAAGUAAAACUGCAAAACAAAAAAAUAGAAGAACACCCGUAAAAAGAUACUAACAAACACAAACUGUCAAACAACCUAUCAGUUGAGGAACGCAUGCAGCCCUAUAGACUACGACAACCAUUCCAAGUUACGAACAUAAUGUUGUCAGUCCAAUAUUUUGCAAAAUGAAUACCACAUCAUUCUCUCCUCAGCAUCUGUCCAUCUCGUGAGACACCAGAUCCUUCAAAAGAAAGUACCAACUUCAGGUGAUGAAGCAAAAUAAUAAAUUGAGCAGAAUUUAUACAUAUCAAAAUGCAUUUAGAUCGACGUCAAAGAAACUAAUAGAUACCAAUGUCAUCCACCUUAAACAAUUCAGGACCCAAUGUCUAUAGCAACAGAUACCUGGUUGAAAAUAGAAACUGGGUUAAAGUUCAACUUAGGAGUACACAAAUUAUAAGAAUAACAAACAUAAAAAGAGCAGUCCAACAAGGGAGUAAAUCUCAUGGAGAAAACAAAGUGCUGUUAUAAGAAUAUUCAUUUGUUAAAAAAAAUGCUUUGAUACUAGAAUUGAGCAUCAUACUAAGAGGAGAAAAGUAUAUCAAUUUUCAUAUAAAGCAUAUCCCUUGUAAAUCAGAGGUAGCAAAAAUAGAAACACAAGAAUCCAUUGAAGAGCCUCACUGAUCAGUGCCUUUGGUGCAAAGAGUCCAAGAUAUCAAAACUGCAUUAAAGCAUGACUGGCCAUAUUCUCAGCAGCCCACAUCUAUUGAUCCUCUAAACAUUAACAAAAUCAGAAAACAUAAAAAUCGCCCACUCUCUUAUAUGACACAAUUUACAACUUAUAAGAAACAAUUGAAAUCAGAAAGUCUAGAGCAUGUUCAUUUCAAAGAUGACACAAUUUACAACUUAUAAGAAACAAUUGAAAUCAGAAAGUCUAGAGCAUGUUCAUUUCAAAGAUGAAAAUAAGUCUAGACCAUGUAUAAGAAAAUGACCACUGAGGGUGUUCUGUCCAAUCGAGUGUCUUCAUUCAAAAUACUACAAAUCAUUUCUUAUAAUUAAACUACUUAUUUUUUAAGAAUUGUGCCAGUGGGGCCUUCAACAAGAAAAACUCCACAUUUUCCCAUUCAAUGGCUUCAUAAUUCAGUUAUAACUAACCAAAAACAACACCACGAGUAUCUAUCAUGAUUCAUGACUUCAUAAUUCAAUUAUAUAAAAAGGCUCACCUCUAUGUGACUAUCACUUUAAUCUUUGCUAGUGAAAGAAAGGCCAGCAUCUUCAAAUUGCUGCACCAUAUCAGGAUCCACCUACGUAGCGCAGGAUAAGUUUUUAGCAUACAUCCCUUACUAAAGAAAUCACAUCCUAUGGUCUACAUAUAAUUAUUAAACCAGUCCACCUAGAUGUGCAUUAGUUACACCACAGUUCCAAAUUUAAAGGAAAAAAAGUGGUGAACCUCAUAUAUAUGACGGUGCCUCUCAUCUGCAAAGCUCCGAUUGCCAAAUCUGAGAAAAGAUAUAAUUAAGACAGUUGGUAAUAUCAAUGGGAAAAAUCCUCCAGAAUGGCUUCACAAACUUAUCAACAAGCAUACCCAAUGUAUGCAAAAAAAAGAAUUUCAAGAAACCAGAGAGAAAAGGCAAAGAACCAUAUCAUUUUAAAAAAUACUUGGUCAGAAAUCAAAAAGUCAAUAAACGAAGUGUAGCAAAGACGACUUAUCACAUCUCUUUAUCCAUCAAUUUGGGGCUGCAUACGUUCAUUGUGUAAACACCAAGACCUGACAGUUAUCCUGAAAGUUAGAAUGCACCAACACUUACAUUCAAUUUGUUAAGGAAACUCAGAUGAAUUCCAAACCCACUAGACAACAGCGGCAAGGAGAAGGAGAAGCACAUGUGCAAAGCAGGUCAUCCUCACUGCAUGCAAAUGAACAAAAUCUAAGGAACUAGACAGGAAAUCCUUAAGUUAGAUGGUGUAUUUAAAACGAACCUUCCAAUGUCAACAAUUUUGAAGGAGACACUGCGAUGCGCAAGGGAGAUUCUUAGCAGAGACUCUUUCGGAGAAUGCAAGACCCUACUUGGAUUUCAAGAUUAUAUAUGCAGACCAAAAAAUCAAUCAGAUCAGAGUACAGUUUAGAAGUAAAGUAUGUAAAGCAAUAUUUUUUACUUGUUUGAUUUUGAGAAAACUAGAAGAACUUGGAAUGCAUUUGCUUCCUUUGAACUUCUAAGUUGUAAAAUACAUCACGAACAAUUACUGCAAAAGAGAAACCCUAGAAAUUUCCUUUAUUAGCAGGCAGCAGUUAACUCAAUUAUCAAGUAGGCUUAUACAAAAUCACCUGCUAUACCAACAUCUCGUCUAUAAUCAUCAAUUCCAAGUUUACAAAACACUUGCCAUCCAGUUAACAAUGGCCAGAUAAGACUUCAAGGACCAGGUUAGUAGUUCUAUACCUAUCCUAGUGUCAACUACUUACUAUAACUCAAAAGAAUUUUACCUUCAAAACCUUACAAUAUCUAUUAGGCCUCCCAUGAGAUUUGGUAACAAUUCCAGAAAAGAAAUAUCAGAAAUAGAGCUCAGAAACAACUAGUUACCACAAGAUAUUCUUGAAAAACACAUCAAAAUAGCUUCAUCAGAUUAACACAAUCGGUAUCAGUGGUGCCAACAAUGAGAGUUAAAUACUGCACAUAAUCUCUGCUGAAUCGAUUGCAUAUCUACCAUGGAACAAAAAUGAACAAGUGACAUGUUUUUCUUUUUUUGUGGCGAUUAGUCAAACCAAUCCUAAUGUCGACUACUUACUAUAACUCAAAAGAAUUUUACCUUCAAAACCUUACAAUAUCUAUUAGGCCUCCGAUGAGAUUUGGUAACAAUUCCAGCAAAGAAAUAUGUAGAUAUGGUACAACAAAGUAGCGGCAGGUGAUGACCAGCACUUUUAACAAAUAGCAUGUCAUUGGAGUAAAUAGCUUCCUAUUCAGAUCUAGCAGAAUGUCUACAGAAUCACACAAUGUAAUCAAUUGAAACAAAAUUCAGUAAUCCUAAAAGUGCAACAGUUCUCAAGUUUGAUCUAGUCCACUGUCUGCAGUCGAAAACUAAGAGAAACCAGAUGCAGUCCUCUGGUUACAUGUGCUCCCACUUCCUCCACUUUUGUCACUUCCUCAGAGCCUAUUCUAGCUUUUCCUUUAUCCCCUCAUUCUAAUUAAUGGUAUUUCGUAAAACUUUUGAAACAUUAGCGUAGGUGUUAAAUGUUCAAAUGAAUUUAUUUACACCAAAGAAUAGAAAAGAUACUAACUCAGUCCUGAAGGAGGUAAGUUGAUUCAACCUUCUGACUAAAAGGAUACAUAAAAAGGUACUCAUUUAAAAUACUACAAAUCAAAGUUAGGCUACAGUUUUCCGGUGUUUAGAAAUAAUCAAAAGUCAAAAAGUCUAGACCAUGUAAAAGAAAGGGGCGGUGAGGGGAUUUUAAGUCUACAAUUGAGUGUCUUCAUUCAAAAUACUACAAAUCACAAACUUACUUAUAAUUAAACUACUUUUUUUUUAUAUAGUUGCGCAGUAGGCCUUCAAGAACAACUUCACGUCUUUUUUCAAUUCCAAUUUUCCAAGAGGAAGCAGGGGAAAUUAGGGCCAAACAAGUUCUUGAACAUCCUUAACAUGCAUUGACAGGAUGACAACCUAAUUUGCUUUUAAAAAAAAGUUUACUUGAAUUUUCUUGAAAAAGCCAACAAAUUCUUGAAAUUUUCUUGAAUUUCAACAUGCAAAAUCGAGUUCUUUGGAAGAAUAUCAAGAUAAUGAGUAGAGUACCAAGAGAUAGAUCAAUUGAUUUAGGGUUAGGGUUUUGAUCGGACAUCGUCACUUGAACCAUCAAGAACACCAACAAGUUCAAUGAACUUUUCUUAAAAAUUAAACACAAAAUAGAGUUGUUGAAUUCGAAUAUGCCGAAUGCCAAUGAAUCAUGAUAGAUUUGCCGAUAGCCGCCGGUAGCGUAGAAGUUCCGGCGGUCGAAGUAUUGAGUUCUAAAAUGGACACUAGGUUCUCUGUUUUAUAGUUUUAGAACCAGAUAAUACACGCGGCAGAAAAAUAGAACGCGGAAAAAUAACUACUUAAUAAAAAAUAUAUUACUUUUUUGUAAACUAUUUUAUUCUAGUAAUUAAUUUUUUAUACUUUUUGUAAUAGGAAGAAAUUAUUCAUUGAAUGUGAAACACGGCCAAAGAUAAUCUGUAAUACUUUGCAAAUGAACUAAAACAUUCAUAUUUUUUAUAUACUAGUUUCUCACAACGUGCGUUGCAUGUUUACUUUUUACUAUUAUUAUAUAAUUUAAAAUUGUGCUAUCAAAUAAAAAAUAUUUAAAUUAACAAUAUUAAUUUUACCAAUUAUAUUUCAUGUAUCAAUAAAAAUAAAUAAAAAGGGAUUGCGCAUUUGGCAUCAAGCAAAAAGUAUGUAAAAUUAAUUAACAUAAUAUAAUCUCCUUUAACUUUGUAUAAGUCUUUUUUAUGAUCUAAAUAUCAGUGAUAACAUUUUAUAGCCAUAAAUGAAUAUUAAAAAUACAUGCACACUUAUUGAUAAGAUUGACUAUUUUAUUUUAAUGAGAAACGAUAGAGUGAAAUAUUUAUAUUAUUUAAGUAAGGUUCUAAAAUUAAAAGACAGUACUAUCAAAAUUAUACAAGAUUAAAAGCAAUUACAUUUAAAAUAUAAAACUAAUAAAUAUAUAAUUUAAGCACUGAAUCUCAUACAUACAUCUAUUUCAAAAGCUCAUAAUAAUAGCUAAAAGAUUACAAUAUCAAAUGAGUUUAUUAGAAAUGCAAAAGGAAUUAAAAACAACAAUAAUCUUCGUGAUGGAGAAUAUAUAUCGAAAGAGAUAUGAGGAGUUAGGCAUGUCUAAAAAGAAGUCUUCAAGUUCUUCUCCCCACCUCAUGUAUUCUAUAUUUUCAUGUCUUUUUGGCGAAUCAUAGAUGGAAUAGUUUUUUUAUUAUCAGUUGAAUGACAAUUUCUUUCAUUUUUCAAUGUUAUCACCUAGUUCUUAAAUAGAUGUCUGUUUAAAUUCUAUAUUUUUCAGUUCUAAAUAAUAAUCUUUAAUAUACAGAUAGAUGGAAAGAUGAAAAAUACAAAUCAUAGUUAGACUUAAUAAGAGAAUUAACAUUACUACUAAUAAUUAUUACUUUGAACUUGGAAUCUAAUCUAGUUUGAAUGAAUAAUUAAAAAGAUGAAAAACACAAAUGAUUGUAAUUAGUAAUAAAUGAGGCAGUUACAAGUUAUCUCAAUAAUUUAUUACUAAUUCAUUCAUAUAUAAUAACACACUUUUAAUAUCAUAGUAAUAAUAAAUAAAAUAAAUGGCAUUAAUCGAUUAAAUAGGGGGGUCACUCUUUUCAUAUGCCAAUAAUUAUUUUAGGAUAUACGUGUACAAUUAAAAUAUAUCUUUUCACAUUCCAAACAUUUAAUUAUUUGCUUAUAUUUUAAUUAAGAAUUAAUUUAAGAAAAUGCAAAAGUCAUCUACAUUUUUAUUAAAAUGAUACAAGUUAACAUUUAAACUAAAUAAAUACUUAAGUGCUUUUAUAACAUUUUAAUUUUUAGUAUGGAUAAAAUUGUAAUUCAACUUUUAACUUUUUUUUGUUCUCUCUUAUAAUAAUACUAGUAUCUGGAACGUGCGUUGCACGUUUGUCCCUUAAUAUUUUUAUUUUAAGUUUUUCUUUAUAAAGUUCAAUUAUAUAUCAAGAAAUGCAAAAAUUAACAAUUUUAAUUAUGAUUUAAUCUCAAAUGGUAUGAAUAUGUCUAUGAAUAGCUAAUUAUUUUUUCAGAUCAAACAACUUAUUUAUUGAAGUAGUUUACAAUGAUUUUUUACUCGAAAAAAUAAUAAACAGAUGUAAGAUUCUUUUUCUUUUGUGCUUAUAUGAAUUGCAUUUUUUUCCUUUUUUUAAAAAAAAUAUACAAUAGUAUUUUUUUAAUGAAAAUAGAAAAAAUUGACGAACAUUAUUCUCAUUUUCGAAUAUCUUUUGAUCUUUGUUUCCAUAAGAUGAAAAUUAAUUAUAUGAACCAAAAGAUUAAUUUAAGAAAUUGGGAUAAAUAGUUCUAAUUUAAAAAUAAUCAUUUCGUUUUCAUAUCAAACACUAUAUUGCUAAACAUACUAAGAUUGAGGCUUAAACCACACAUACAUAUAUAAAAAGGAUAGAUAUACCUGAAAAAAAAGAAUCUCUAGCAGAAUGAGAAUGAAUGGAAGAUGAGAGCAAGAAAACUUACUGUGUACCUAUAUAGAGUUUUGUAAUGUAAAGAAUAUGAAAAGAUGGAGAAAAUUAUAUAAACAUUGAUCAACAAUAACCAAGAAAAAUAUGACAUGAACCGUUUUUGGAUUGUAAUCAAGGAGCUUAUGACUAUCUAUCUUCAAUCUGAAGUAUUGAAUUUAGUGUAAAGCAUUAAGUGCGGUUGGAAUGAGUUUAACUGCAGAAACUCAAAGGAUCAUUAAUUAAAAAAAAAAACUGUUUUGCUAUCAUUAUUUAUUUAAUUUUCAAAUUUACAUUUUCUAAUUUAAUAAAAAAGUGAAGGGCAUUUUAGUAAUCCAACUUUAAACUCAAAACCUUCCCACUUAUAAUAAUACUAGUUUCUGACAACGUGCGUUGCAUGUUAAUUUUAUCAAUUAUAUUUCAUCUAUCAACAAAAAUAAAUAUUAAGGGAUUGCGCAUUUGGCAUUCAGCAAAAAAUAUGUGAAAUUAAUUAAUAUACUAUAGUCUCCUUUAACUUUGUAUAAGUCUUUUUUAUGAUCUAAAUAUCAUUGUUAACCUUUUAUAGCCAUAAAUGGAUAUUAAAAAUACAUACACACUUAUUGAUAAGAUUGCCUAUAUUAUUUUAAUGAAAAACGAAAGAGUGAAAUAUUUAUAUUAUUUAAGGUUCUAAAAUUAAAAGAUAGUACUAUCAAGAUUAUACAAAUUAAAAACAAUUACAUUUAAAAUAUAAAACUGACAGAUAUAUAAUUUAAACACUGAACUUUAUACAUACAUCUAUUUCAAAAGCUCAUAAUAAUAGCUAAAAGAUUACAACACCACAAUGAGUUUAUUAGAAACACAAAAGAAAUUAGAAACAACAAUAAUCUUCGUGAUGGAGAAUAUAUAUUGAAAGAGAUAUGAGGACUUAGGCUGUCUAAAAAGAAGUCAAGUUCUACUCCCCACCUCAUGUAUUCUAUUUUUUCAUGUCUUUUUUGCCUAUCAUAGAUGAAAUAGUUUUUUGAUUAUCAGUUGAAUGACAAUUUCUUUCAUUUUUCAAUGGUUAUCACAUAGUUUUUAAAUAGUAGUAAAAAUAUAUGUCUGAAUUCUAUAUUUUUCAGUUCUAAAUAAUAGUCUUUAAUAUAUAGAUAGAUGGAAAGAUGAAAAAUACAAGUCAUAGUUAGACUUAAUAAGAGAAUUAACAUUACCACUAAUAAUUAUUGCUCUGAACUUGGAAUCUAGUCUUAGUUUAAAUGAAUAGUUAAAAAGAUGAAAAACACAAAUCAUUGUAAUUAGUAAUAAAUGAAACAAUUACAAGUCAUCUCAAUAAUUUAUUACUAAUUCAUUCAUAUAUAAUAACACACUUUUAAUAUCUUAGUAAUAAUAAAUCAAAUAAAUAAAAUCAGUGAUAUUAAUCGGAUAAAUGGAGGGUCACUCUUUUCAUAUGCCAGUAAUUAUUCUAGGAUAUACAUGUACAAUUAAAAUAUAUCUUUUCACAUUCCAAACAUUUAAUUAUUUGCUUAUAUUUUAAUUAAGAAUUAAUUUAAGGAAAUGCAAAAGUCAUCUACAUUUUUAUUAAAAUGAUACAAUUUAAUAUUUAAAAUAAAUAAUUAAAUGCUUUUAUAACAUUUUAAUUUAUAGUAAGGAUAAAAUUAUAAUUCAACUUUUAACUUUUUUGUUCUCUCUUAUAAUAAUACUACUGAAGACGUGCUUUGCACGUGUGUUCUAUGUGAAUUUUUAUAGAUAUGUUAUAAUGAUAAAAAUUUUAUGAAAAUAUAUAUGUAAAUUAAUGAAUAAUAUAAUGUAACAAUUACAAAAUAAGAAUAAAGACUUACGCAAUAAAACAUUCAUAAAAAAACUAAAUUAAGAAGUCGGAUGGUGAUAAAAAAAAAAGACAAAAAGAAACAGAUUUAAGAAAGAUCCAAUGUAAACAUUGUUCUUAUAAGGCUGAUGUAUGUAUAGAUGAAAAAAUAAGUACAAAAUUAGUACAUAACUCUCUGAGUUCUUAUCGACUCCUUUCAUAUUCUAUCAAAAUUCAAGAGGUUUCUUUAUCUACUUUAACUAUAGAAUGAAAAUGAUAGCCUAAUAAUCUUGGUAGGAUUUCACGAGAUUAAAAAAGUUGAAUUUAUAUAGAUAGAAUAGAAGGAAUAUCAAAAGAUAUAUUAAAGUUUUAGUUUAAAUAUUUGGAGGUUAUGAAUAUGAAAAGAUGAAAGUUCUGAAUAUUAAGAGUAUAAAGUUGAAUAAGUAAUUAACAAAUAAUAAUAAAUAAAUGAAGAAUAUGAAAUAAGAAGUUAAAAUUAGCAAACCAUGUAGAAAGAACAACUAAAAGUCUUAUCACGUAAUUAAGCGUUAAUGAAUUUAAAUUUGUAAAGAUAGAGUCAUUCUUUAAUAAUAAUCGAGAGGACAUUAUCAACGUGUGUCUCCAUUUUGCAAAUUUGCACCGUUUAUAUUAUUAAAUUCGUUAUUUAUCAUAAAGGAUAAUACUUUAUCCACAUAAAUUAUAUUAUUCAUGAGAGGGGUUAAGGAAAAAGUUACAGAAAGAGGAAAAAUAUAGCAAUUUAGUAAAUACUUUUUUUAAAAAAAAAUUAUAAUUAUUAUAUACAUAUAGAUUAUAGAUGAUAAAUAUUAAUUAAUUGGAUAUUUAAUUAGAAAUCAAUCUUUAGAAGUCUAAAAGUCAUUAACCUUUUAAUUAAAUUUAUACAAUCAAAUAUUUAAAUAUUUUAUAACAAUUUAAUUUAUAGAAGGGGUAAAACUGUAAUUCAACUUUCAACUUUUUUUGUUCAUGCUUUUAGUAAUACUAGUUCUCGGAACGUGCAUCGCACGUUUGUCCCCUAAUUGAUAUUAGAAAAUUUUAAUUUGUAUAGCUAAGUUCAAAUCUAAGUCCUUUCAUAUGUAAGUUUAACAUAAGAAUAUAACUCGGCAAAAAAUAUGACAUGAAAAUCUUGUGUUAGAUGUUGGAAGUUUUAUAUAUUAAAUACUUCAUGAAAAAUAAACAUUUAUUUUAUCAGAGGAUUAAUAUAUUUUAAUUACUAAACAUAAGUUUUAAUAAUCAAAAAAGAUAUUGUCUAUUAAAAAAAUAUACGUAUAAAGAAAAAUAUUACAAAAUGUUGGGCGGUAUACCAUCAAAUUUAUAGAAAAAAAUACAAUUUCAAACGAAAAAAAAAGAAGUAAAUAAAGACAUGGCAUCCAUAAAAAAAGUCAUCACAUUAAAAUAUAAAGAGAAAUUUUUUUUCAUACUAAUUGAAUUACAUUUUGUUAAAAGUAGACUUAUUCUAGACAAAACAUGACUUACUCUAGACAAAACAUAUAGUAUAUAAUAAUAAUAAAUAAGACAAACAGAAAGAAGGCAUCAAUAUGUUAUGAAUAAAGAUAAACUAUAUAUAUAUAUAAAUUCUAAAAUAAUAUUAUUCAAUGUAUCAUUUAGUCAUUUUUUUACUAUACAUUAAUUUUUUAUUAUUUUUACUUUUGCACUUAUUUUGUACCUCUCUAUAACAGUUAAACAUAUGAAUUUUUUGAACGUUUGAGAUUACAUAUAAAAAGGAAAAAGUACAAAUAUGUUGAUUUAAAAAGAUAAAUAAUUAUCAAACAAUGAAAAAGACAUAAUUAUUAUUCUAUGGGAUUUAACAUGUUUGCCCUCAAAAUAAUUAAUGAUAAACACAAAAUGUGAUUAGCUUUACUACAUAUAUCCUAAAAAUAGAAGAAAGGAUAUGAAUACAAAAAUACAGUAAUCAACUACAAAGUUAUAUUUAAAAACUCAAAACGAUGAAGAUGUGAAAAAUAAAUAUUUACUUACAACUUCAUAUUGGAGUAUAUUCAUCUUGUAACUAUCAUAAUAUAUUUCUCAACAAAAAGAAGAUGAAUAUGCAUGAAAUUUUAAAGAAUACAAAUAAAUAAAAUAGUAUGAAUUCUUAUAAUUACAAACUGAUAAUGAAAUUUUACAAGGGAUGUAGACUAACCUAUUGUAGUAUGCAAGAUGAUUACAAACUUGAAUGAAAUAAGUAAUAUAUAUAUUGUGGUGAGAGUGUGUUUGAUAGACUCUUCAUUACCCCUACUUAUCUUACAAAUUAAAGUUGAAAGGUUAUUAGACUCUUCAUUAUCUACAUUUAAUUAGUACAUGAAUAUAUGAUGCAUUAAGAUCUUAUUUGAUGCAUGAAUUUAAAUAUAACUUUUACUUAAUAUUUAAUUAAUUAAAUAGAUAUUAAUGUUAAUUUAUUUUAGAGAAAAAAAUAAGGAUAAAAUGAUAAUUCAACUUUGAGGUUUGGAGCUUCCCACUUAUAAUAAUAUAUGAUAUGAUAUGAUUUCUGCAGCAGUAUAAUGUUAUGUUGUUUUUUAUUUGUUGGGAAAACUCAAACAAGCAUGAAAAUAUAUAUGGUAAAAGUAAUGAAAAUAAAAUGAGAAAAUAAUGACAUCAAGAAUUUUAGGUGGAAAUCCUUUAAAAUAAGGGAAAAAUCACAGGCCAAAAGGAGCAACUGAUAUUAUUAUAGUAAGAAAUUUUAAACUGUGUAGUCACGAAUACAAUAAUCAAAGUGACUAUUAUACACUAAAAAAAACAACACUCUUUUGGUUUCCAUCUUAAUAAAAUAUCGCUCACACUCUUUUUUUUUCGCAGACGAUUUUUCUUGCGUAGUCUAUGGAAUAUCUCACUUUGAUCCCAAAAUAAUUUUUUCUCUCUAACUUGGUAUGUUCUACAAAUAAGUAAGAAUGCUCUAUUUAUAGAAGGAGAAAUCAUGUCUAUGUCACUACUGCCAUAGGUAAAUAUAGCAAAGUCAACAAAGGGUUGCAAACCUUACCAAUUUGCUAACUAUCAAAUCAUUUAUUUGCAACUCUGAUUAUUAUUCCUUUUUAACAAUUACUUGUAGCAAUUAAAUAGCAAAAAUUGAUCAAAAAAUGAAAUGGACUCAACAGUAUUGAGGUCUUGAGGAUAACGUAGACUUUAGCUCUUUGAGAAGCUCCAAUUCCCCUGUUAUAAAUUGCCUUCCAACUCAUGGCCAUAAUACUACUAAUGCAAACUCUCAUGUGUCCACUUAUAUCAAAACUAUAACAAAAAACAAAUCAAUCAUAUAGAAGAUUCAACUGGUAGAGAGGCAUUUGUUGUACUGUUGAUUGACUAUAGCACAUGGUUUUGCUACUCAACUCAUUGUCAUUGCUCUUCAAUAUCAGCAGUCCCUACAGCCAGCCCCCCAGUGUUUUUCACAACAAGAUAGAGAAUAGAAGACUAUUAAAAAUUAAUUUGAUAACUUUGAGUCAUUGUCAACACAGAUUCUUUUGAGAUAAUAACAGGUAAUUCCCAUUAGUAACAAAAUCUGACCAUUAUGUAGGAUCAACUUUUCUGAUAGAAUAAUCCAAGCUAUUUCAAAGAUUUUGGGAAAUGUUUCCAAAUAGUAGAGAAUAUAUAUUUUUUUUAACUGGCUAUCGACAUAUAUGUGUGACUAUGUUUUGCAAAUCUCCAUUAAAUUAUGAGUCAGUCAAAACCUAUUGCCAGAAAUAUGAGUUCAUAUUCAAGAAGAGUAAAGAUGUUAUUUCUUCUAAAGAGUUAAUUAAUUUGCAUCUGUAUUUUGUCACAUUUGACUGCACUCAGUACUGACACUAUACAUCUUGAGUUAUACCUCACUGCCGCUAUCAAGUGCAGCAAGCUUCAUUUGAAACCAUUAAGUGUAAUUAUCAUUUUUACCAAAUUGAAUGAGUUAUGCCACUUUAGGGGACCAGAUUGUAGUUCAUUCUGAUUAACAAACGGUAAGAGUUGACCAAAAAACUUCUAUUGUAAUGAAUUGAUUACAUUAAUAUAUGGAAGUAAAAAGUUUCAUUACUUCAAUUUCUUUUGAAGUAGAAAAGUGUGUCCUUAGUCUACCUAGUGUUUCUUAUAACUCUCAACCGUACACAGUGGAGUUCCUAGCUUACUACAACUAUACAAAAUUGAGUUAACAAAAAAAUAGGGACUGGUUUCCUUCUCACUUCCUCAAUCGAGAUGUGACAUCGAUGAACAAAUCCUCACUGCAGGGAAUAGUCACACCACCCAUUGGAUGGUCGAAGCCAAAUUCUUCCUCAGCUUGACUAAGCAAGUCUUGAAAUAAAGGUUCGCUCAAGAAUGAUAUGGGGAUCAUGAAUCUCUUUUUCUGCAUCUCCCCAACAUACACAGCAAAAUGGCCCUUGGGAAUAUCUCUGGUUGCGGAAGACUUCUUGAUCAUACGAAGAAUAGCCAUGAUGAUUUAGUUUUAGUAUAGAUAAGAAAGGUAAAAGAAAUACAAAGGAACUCAAAAGCAGAAAAAAGUUUUGAUGUUUGCUGAGAGCUGUUGUGGAAGAUACCACUUUGGAUGUUUAUAUAGGCAAUAUCGACUCAUUCUGAUGUAUUUUGAGUAGGAAUUUGUGGGCACCAGCAGAAGACAAUGUCACUGAAGUAUCACAUGCUCUUGCCUUCCAAGUAUUGAAAACUUUGUGGUAUUAGUUGAAGAACAAUAGGCCCUACAUUUUUUUGAAUCUUGGAAAGAAGCAUUAUUCAUUAUGGAAUUUUUGAGAAGUCAUAAAGUUCUUGAUUCUGGUGAAGAGCCAUUUGGAUUGGACAUCAGUUAAAGACGAUGAUAUAUCAGUAAUCACAUGGCCCUGCCUUCCAGCUAGUUGACAUGAGUAAUUGCUUUAGCUCAUCAGAUCAAGUUCAAUAGGUCCUGCAUAUAUUUUCCUAUAGGGAACCAAGGAUCUCUAAGAAUCAAAUCCAUAAAAAUUGCUGGUAGCCUAUGAUGCAAACUGUGUCCACUUAUAUACAAACUAUAAGAGAAGAGAAGUCAAAAAUAUGAAAGAUUUCACUGGUGGAGAGGUAUUUGUUGCACUGUUUAUUGACAAUAGCACAUGAAGCAUCACAUGGUGUUGUUGCCAACUCAUUGUCUAAUAUAUAUGAUCUUAGCAAAUUGCUCAUGAAUAUCAUCAGACCCCAGUGUUUUUCAUGACAAGAUAGAGAACAGACUAUCUUUAGAGAUCAAAUUGAUAAUUUACUGCAAUAGUUGACAACUUGUGGGAUCAACAUUCCGGAUGAGAAUAACCCAUGGUAUUUCAAUAGUUUUUGACAAGUGUUUUCAAAUAGUAGAUAACAGAAAUGUUUAUUGACUAUCAAUAUGUCUAUGUUUUGCAUAUCCAUCAAAUUAUGAGUCAGUCAGAACCUUACUGUUGCCAGAAAUUUGAAUCCAUAUUCAAGAAAAGUAUAGAUAUUAUAUCUUAUUAAGAGUUGAUGAAUUUACAUCCAUUUUCUAUCUCAUUCAGUUAACUCAGUAAUUUCACAUUACUGCAGAAUAUCAGAUCUAGUACAUAUUGAGUUAUUUGUACAUUGUACGACGGAUGCUGCCAAGUGCAUCUAAUUUAUUUGGAACCCCAAAGUGUAAUUAUUACCAAUAGAAUGAAUUGUGCCACUAAAGAAUGAAUUGAGAAAACCAUGAGAGUUGAGCAAAAAAUUUCUAUUGCAAUGAAUUGAUUACAUCAAUGUAUGGAAGUAAAAUGUUUCAUUACUUCAAUUACUUUUGAAGUAGAAAAAUGUGUCCUUAGUCUACCUAGUGUUUCUUAUAACUCUCAACUGUACACAGUGGAGUUCCUGGCUUACUACAACUAUACAAAAUUGAGUUAACAAAAAAAUAGGGACUGGUUUCCUUCUCACAUUCUCAAUCGAGAUGUGACAUCGAUGAACAAAUCCUCACUGCAGGGAAUAGUCACACCACCCAUUGGAUGGUCGAAGCCAAAUUCUUCCUCAGCUUGACUAAGCAAGUCUUGAAAUAAAGGUUCGCUCAAGAAUGAUAUGGGGAUCACAAAUCUCUUUUUCUGCAUCUCCCCAACAUACACAGCAAAAUGGCCCUUGGGAAUAUCUCUGGUUGCGGAAGGCUUCUUGAUCAUACGAAGAAUAGCCAUGAUGAUUUAGUUUUAGUAUAGAUAAGAAAGGUAAAAGAAUUACAAGGAACUCAAAAGCAGAGAAAGUUUUGAUGUUUGCUGAGAGCUGUGGUAGUAGAUAUCUCUUUGGAUAUGUUUAUAUAGACAAUGGAAACUCAUACCGAUGUGGUGUUGAAUAAGAAAUUGUGGGCACCAGCAGAAGACAAUGUCACUGAAGUAUCACAUGCUCUUGCCUUCCAAGUAUUGAAAACUUUGUGGUAUUAGUUAAAGAACAAUAGGCCCUACCUUAUUUUGAAACUUCGAUAGAAGCAUAAUUCAUUAUAGAAUUUUUGAGAAGCUAUGACCUGGAACAUGGACCACUAACAUGAAAAACAUAACCACAUUGGGAAACAUAAAAUUUCAUUAAUUAAUAUCCCAAAACAACAAGUAACAUGAGAGAGGUCAAACUCUUCCCAUCUUUGGACUUGAAAGGCUUUAGUUAUCAAGGAUUACAGGCCCUACCUUUUCUUUGAACUUAAAGAGCAAAGUAUCCCUCACAACCAAAUAGCUAAACAAGUAUUGUCUAGGUACACAUCAAAUUUUAUAUGUUGACAUGUUUUUGUUGUAAGAAUUAUUCCUGAGAAAACAAAAAUAGUUUAUAUGGCCAUAAGCUUCCAAUUCCAAGUGCUUCCUAGCAUAGGUUUAUAACUUUUCAUUAAUCAUUAUGGCUCUAAUUGGUUGAAAAGAAUUUGUAUAUGGAGUCUUAGGAAGUGGUUCUAAGAUCUUAAAAUUGUUGUUGUGAUAUCUCAACAUCACAUUCUCACUUACCAUUCUACUUGUCAUUAAAUAAAUAUACAAAGCAAAAGACCAUCAAUAGGCACCUGAUGGAUAUCAUAUGGUUUUACCUUCUAUGUCCUUUUGGGCACUGCUUAUGAUUUGUGAUAUAGUCCUAUUUUCAUGACCAUACAUAAAAAAAGUGAAAAACCAAGUUGAGAAGAGGAAAGAGGAUAAAGGUGAAUUUUUGCGUUGAUCUACAUUGUAGACUCUACAACUAUUUGAAGUAAGUAAAACACAUAAAGCUAUGGUUUGGAUUCAAUAACUUGCAAACAAAUAUUAUUAGUUACUUCUACACAGGCCUCUCUUAGAGAACCAUAGAGUAAAUACAGUUGUGCUAAGGCCUCUCUUAGAGAACCAUAGAGUAAAUACAGUUGUGCUAAUCGAUGCUUUUAGAAACAAGUUGGCAUAGAUAUAUGCAAUGUUUUCUUCUCAUAUCAUAAGUCAUUUGAUCAAAUGGUUGGACCAACUUUGCAGAUCAGAAUUGUCCUGAGUUUUUCAGCUGCUCGAGCGAAAUUCUAAUAAAUCAUCAAACCAGUAUUGAUUUUUCAGAAGAGAAGAAAUAGAAAAUGUCUAAUGAAGUGUGAAGUUGUGAACUAUGAAUGUGACUUCUUCGAUAUUUUGAAAUUUCUUCUGCUGAUUUCAUUUCUUUGGCUGCGCCAAAUAUAUUUCAGUGUUCAGGAUAAGGUCACAGAUGAGUUUUCUUUAGAGUUAAUUAACAUAGACUUCAGCACUUUAUAAGGUCCAAUUCCUAUGUUAUGGAAAGAACAGUCAUGUAAAGAAAUUUGUUGAACAGAAAUAAUAAUACCAAAUUGGAUACUGAAUGAGUCUGAACUGAUUUCAUUUGCUAAACUACUGAAAAUUGUAUUCAAAAUUGGGAUCUAUAGAUCCAGCUGACAGUAGUGAGAAGUAACAAUGUGUGUUUCCUAAUUCCUCUUAUGUACAAACUAAAAAUCCUAUUCUUUACAAAACUGUGAAAAUAAAAGCCUCAGAUCCUAUUCAAGCGAGAAGUAAGAUCAACGAACACAUCUUCACUGCAGGGUAUUGUUACACCACCCAUUGGAUGAUCGAAGCCAAAUUCUUCCUCAGCUUGACUAAGCAAGUCUUGAAAUAAAGGUUGGCUCAAGAAUGAAAUGGGAAUUACAAAUCUCUUCUUUUGGUUCUCCCCAACAUAAACAGCAAAGUGGCCUUUAGGAACAUCUGCGACUGUAGAGGACUUCUUGAUUAUACGAGGCAUACGGAUAGCCAUGGUCUUUUAGUUCAAUAUAUAGAUGAGGAAAUAAGGAAGGGAAGAAUUUGUAAGGACUCUGAAAGAACAGAUAAGCUUUGUAUGACUUAAAUUUUUGGUCAGAGCUGUUAUGGUAAACCCUUCUUUAUAUGUGUUUAUAUAGGCCAAUGACAAGUUGUCAAACCCCACUGAUGUCUGAAUAUACAUUUUGUGGACACCAGCUAAAGACAGUAGCACCUGAAGUAUCACAUGGUUUUGCCUUCCAACUCAUUGUCAUAAUAUUAAUGCAAACUCUCAUGUCCACUUAUAUAAAAACUAUAAGAGAAAACAAAUCAAUCAUAUAGAAGAUUCAACUGGUGGAGAGGCAUUUGUAGUAAUGUUGAUUGACAAUAGCACAUGGUUUUGCUACUCAACUCAUUGUCAAGUAUAUAUGAUCUUAGUCAUUGCACUUCAAUAUUAGCAGUCCCUUGUUUUUCAGGACAAGAUAGAGAACUGAAGAUUUUUAGAAAUCAAUAUGCUAACAUUGAGUCAUUGUCAACAGCAGGAUUUUAUGAGUUUGAUCAGAAUGAUAAUAACAGGUAAAAUUUACUACCAUCUGACCAUUUGCGUAGUCCCUCAAGCUAAGUCAUUAUGUAGGAACAACUUUCCUGAUUAAAAUAAACCAACCCAUUUCAAUAGAUUUUUUCUACAUGUUUCCAAAUAGUAGAGAAUACUAUAUAUUCUUUACUGGCUAUCUCUGUCCAUGUUAUGCGAAUCUCCAUCAAAUUAUUAGUCAGUCAACACCUUAUUAUUGCUACAAAUUCGAAUUUCAUAUUCAAAAGUACAGAUACUAUUUCUUAUGAAGAGUUCAUAAAGUGUAAUUAUCAUUUUUACCAAUUGAAUGAGGUAUGCCACUUAAGAGGACUAGAUUGUAGUUCUUUCUGAUUACCAAACCAUUAGAGUUGAGCAAACAAUUUCUAUUGCAAUGAAUUGAUUACAUCAAUGUAUGGAAGUAAAAAGUUUCAUUACUUCAAUUUCUUUUGAAGUAGAAAAAUGUGUCCUAGUCUAGCUAUUGUUUCUUCUAACUCUCAACUGUACACAGUGGAGUUCCUGGCUUACUAACAACUAUACAAAAUUGUGUAACAAAAAAAUGGGGACUAGUUUCCUUCUCACUUCCUCAAUCGAAAUGUGAGAUCCAUGAACAAAAACUCACUGCAGGGAAUAGUAACACCGCCCAUCGGAUGUUCGAAGCCAAAUUCAUCCUCGGCUUGACUAAGCAAGUCUUGAAACAAAGGUUCGCUCAAGAAUGAUAUUGGAAUUACAAAUCUCUUUUUCUGCAUCUCUCCAACAUACACAGCAAAAUGGCCCUUGGGAAUAUCUCUAGUUGCGGAAUACUUCUUGAUCAUACGGAGAAUAGCCAUGAUCUCUUAGUUUUAGUAUAGAUGAAAAAAAAAGGACUGUUGAGGGAACUCAAAAGCAGAGAAAACGUUGAUGUUUAC